ensembl:lncRNA
CCUGUAGCUGUAGUAAAGAAAUGAUGUACAGAGAGCAAGAGAGAAAAUCCUGGCUGUGAUCAGUGUCUCCAAGCCAUAUGGCAGGCUCUGGUCCCAAUCCCUCAUGGAUGCCCUCUUUGACUUCAGCAGGGCUGCAGGGUGAUGCAGCCCACACUCUCUGCAGGUCAUUUAUUAGCUAGCUUUGUGCCCUUGAAAUAUCAGCCCUAUCAGCCUGCAUUCCCACUCUUGCUUUUGCAUAAGAGGAUGAACUGCAUAAUUUUGUUGCUGUCCUGAAGGCAGCCUACAUUAAGCUUGCAGCUUGUGUAGUGUUAAUGUUCUGAAGUAAAUAAAUUCUCUGCUGUUUUGUGGUUUGAUAACACAAGGAUAAUUACAUUGAGAGAGAAUUCACACCUGAAUUGUGUAAGUUAGUACUGAACAGUAAAUCUCUUUACAGCAUGUUUAUCCUCUUCUUUCCCUUUUCUUUCAGUAGAAAUUUAAUUUGAAAACAGAUGACUUCUGUUCUUUGCAAAUAAAAUACUGAGGAGUCAAUAAUUUUCUAAGUAAUUUUCCCUUUGUGCACCCAGGUCUGACAAAAGGCAGUUUCUCUCUUAUCAUUCCUAAAGAACAAAUAAGCCCAGAGAAAAACAAACAAACCCAUUUUGUCCAGGUUAAAGGUAUAAAACCAGGUUAACCUCUCAUUGUAGCUCAUUAUUUUUACAUCAGCAUGUGUUCUUUCAUCUCUCUCUCUCUUUCUCCUAAGGACAAAUCCAUGUCACGCUUUGAUAUAUUUCCUCUGUUUCUGCAAUUUUGAGAUAGUUCAGGCUAAGAUGAAAACACACUGCUGUUGUUGGGGCAGCCAUGCCUUCAGUGAACUUACAUCUGGACAAACUUCUUUGUUCCAUUUGAUGAAAUCAUUCAUUUCAUCCUGGGUAAAGUACUGUUGGGAUAUUCUUGCUUUAAAGGAAGACAGAAUAUACCCGGUUUCCUUGAGGUAUGGUAAAAUGUUAAUUUUGCAUUGAAAUCUUCAUCAAACAGGAGAUUUGGUUGUUUGCUUUAUUGGAUUUCUUUUUUAGUUAGAAAACUAUGGUUUUGUUAAGAGAUAUAGAAGUGGAUAUUUGCAAAAUUCUUACCUAAUUCACAAAGUAAAAAUAAUGACAAUUUGCAUGCCAUGUAACCGAAAAAUGUGUAUAUAAUUACUUCUUUUAAAAGCUGACAUGGUAAUUCCUGAUUAGUAUGGAAUCUUGUGGAAUUAGUUUUGGUUAUUAAUCAAGUUAAGUUUUGCUCUCUCAAUCAUGAUCUUGAACUAAGCUUGGAACUGUCUGACUGACCAGCAUAUGCUGGCUAAAAUCCUUCCUCAGGAGCAGAAAGGUUAAGAGGACAGAUGAAGCAAAGGCAAAUGGUAUCUUCUUACUACUCCUUGGAGAUCUCACUACUAAAGAUCUCCCACACCUACUAUGUAAUGAAAUAUCUGCUAAUGUCCAUAUAGCCUCUGUGGCAUUUAGCACUCUUGAUUUUAUGUUGUCUGGUUUUGAAACCUUAUAAAGUGCAAUGUUCUGUAACCUUUCAAAAACAUUCAUAGGUGUGAUGUCAAUGUUUCCCAAGUACUCAGCUGUCGUUAUUGUAAGCCAGACUUUUGUUUACAAAAGCCCAGGCUUGCAAUUCACUGCCUUGCGGGGGUGAAAAAAAAAGGGAGAAAGAAGUAAUAUUUUGCUUCUUAACACUUUCUCUAUUUUCUCUUUAAAGUUCCAUUCAGCUUUGAAAAGUGAAAUGACCUUUUUAAUGUACAUUUAUUUAAAAUUCUUUGAUGCAUUCCAAACCUUUGCUGUUAUUUAUCUUCACAUUUUAACCUGUGCUAUCUUUUUUUGUUUUUUCCAUUGGCCAUCGUAGUUACACACAAAAAAAAUCCCUUCUAUUCUUGAUUUUUGCUUAAUCCAAAUUAAAGAUAAUCUGUAUUAUUAAAGACUAGCCUCCUAGUAAAAUACAAUGAUGGU